GGCCAUUUCAGUUAGGGGAUGAGAGGCUGAGGCAUGGCGGUAACAGUGAGUGGGGAAAAAGGAUUUAAUUCUAUGGAGGAAGAAUCUACAGGACAUAUGAACAGAUUACAUAUGCUUGAAUAGGUAGGUCAAGAUCAUUAUCCCCAACUUAAAAGGCAACUGGAACACGGAGCUUGAGAGACUAGACAGAGCUGCUAAAUGACAGAAGAAGAUCUGGAAUCCACAUCUUUUUAUUGAUUCAAUGCUAGAGCACUUUCUAUUUUACUACAUAGAUGAGAAGUAAGAGUCCUACUGGCCACUUCCAAGUUUCUACAUGCACUGCCCUCAGGGAAGGUGAGGGUCAUUCAGCAACCAAGCAUUGGGACACUAGCUCAGACAUUUCAAAUAGUGGAAGAAGUCUGAUGGACUCAAUUUCAAGGCUCACUUCGGCCUACCUCCAGCUCCCGUCCCAGAGGAACAAGGGAGGAGGAGAUCCUGAUAAUGUUUUUCCUCCCAACACAUGACCAUCCCAGGCCACCAUUACCAGUCACGGGAUUAGCGGGUCCUACGGAGCAGGAAUUCCUACCUCCCAACUGAACCGGUGCUGGAGUCACUCCAAUGCUUCUGGUUCCACAUGGCUGGGCAAAAGGACAUAGGGUCACUUUGAGCGCUCUACGCUUCUGUCCCACAGUCACACCCUCCUGGGCUGGGCCCAACUUUUGAACUGGCAGUCGUGGCCUUUAUUCUGACUCUGCACUGGGGUACCAGAUGGCUGUGGAGCCUCCAAACAAGUGCACUCGGAUUCCCGUGGUAGAAAGGCUCCCCAGCACCUCACAGUGGGGCGUGGGGGACUGGCAGGGCACAACUGGGGGCAUUUCUUGAACAAAUUCCAUCAGAACAGCACCAAAACCCCACCCCUGACCUCGGACAGGAGCAAGACAAUAGACCAUGCUUGAAAAGACUAACCUGACAGUGAGAAUGCACUGGGAACAAGAAGGCCCAGGUUCCAGUUGUGGCCAGGAAAGAAAACCUCUAGUACACUUUCAAUCUAAGUGUACCUUGUCACCUAUGAAAUGAGUGCCUUGGGUAUAGGGUCACUGUCAUGACUGUGUGGCAGUUUGAGCAUCUGCAAAUAUCUCCCCAGGCCUCAAACCCGUAAUUCAAAGCUGAAGCAUUAGCCCCCGUAGGAGGCAUUUCUUCACAUCGUCACCCCCUUCUCAGACAGCUGCAUCCUGUGCAGUUAGAAGAGGGAACCAGACAGCAGAGUCUGAGGCCCAUUUCGCAGGCUCAGCAUUCUACCGCAGCUCUGUGCGUGCAUGACAUCUCACCUGGAGGGGCCCCUCCGACAGGGACGGGACCUCACAGACAAACCCACAUCAAGCCCUGCAGCGGCUCGAGCCAACCUCAACUCAAACGCUCAGAUGACCUCCCCUCCUCCAAAUCAGUGAGAUGAAAUCCCGUACAGACGUCUGAUUUGCACAAGCUGAUUGCUUAUCAUGAAACAUCAGGUAUAGCCUCAUUUUGACUGAUGAGGAAUGAAAGCAUUAAAGCAUCACAUGUUGUGGCUGGAUCCUGGAAAAGAAGGACAUUGGUGGGAAAGAGGUGAAAUCCAAAC